rnacentral:rRNA from 1 species
CGGAGCGGCAGACGGGUGAGUGAACGCGUGGGAACGUACCUUUUGGUUCGGAACAACACAGGGAAAGUUGUGCUAAUACCGAAUAAGCCCUUAGGGGGAAAGAUUUAUCGCCGAAAGAUCGGCCCGCGUCUGAUUAGCUUGUUGGUGAGGGAAGGGCUCACCAGGGCGACGAUCAGUAGCUGGUCUGAGAGGAUGAUCGGCCGCGUUGGGACUGAGACACGGCCCAAACUCAUACGGGAGGCAGCAGUGGGGAAUAUUGGACAAUGGGCGCAAGCCUGAUCCAGCCAUGCCGCGUGAGUGAUGAAGGCCCUAGGGUUGUAAAGCUCUUUUGUGCGGGAAGAUAAUGACGGUACCGCAAGAAUAAGCCCCGGCUAACUUCGUGCCAGCAGCCGCGGUAAUACGAAGGGGGCUAGCGUUGCUCGGAAUCACUGGGCGUAAAGGGUGCGUAGGCGGGUCUUUAAGUCAGAGGUGAAAGCCUGGAGCUCAACUCCAGAACUGCCUUUGAUACUGAGGAUCUCGAGUUCGGGAGAGGUGAGUGGAACUGCGAGUGUAGAGGUGAAAUUCGUAGAUAUUCGCAAGAACACCAGUGGCGAAGGCGGCUCACUGGCCCGAUACUGACGCUGAGGCACGAAAGCGUGGGGAGCAAACAG